rnacentral:pre_miRNA from 1 species
GUACUACUCCCUCCGUUCGGAAUUACUUGUCUCGAAUAUGGAUGUAUCUAGAACUAAAAUACAUCUAGAUACAUCCAUUUCUGCGACAAGUAAUUCCGAACGGAGGGAGUACCAA